ACUCCUACGGGAGGCAGCAGUGGGGAAUAUUGGACAAUGGGCGCAAGCCUGAUCCAGCCAUGCCGCGUGAGUGAUGAAGGCCCUAGGGUUGUAAAGCUCUUUCACCGGUGAAGAUAAUGACGGUAACCGGAGAAGAAGCCCCGGCUAACUUCGUGCCAGCAGCCGCGGUAAUACGAAGGGGGCUAGCGUUGUUCGGAUUUACUGGGCGUAAAGCGCACGUAGGCGGACUAUUAAGUCAGGGGUGAAAUCCCGGGGCUCAACCCCGGAACUGCCUUUGAUACUGGUAGUCUUGAGUUCGAGAGAGGUGAGUGGAAUUCCGAGUGUAGAGGUGAAAUUCGUAGAUAUUCGGAGGAACACCAGUGGCGAAGGCGGCUCACUGGCUCGAUACUGACGCUGAGGUGCGAAAGCGUGGGGAGCAAACAGGAUUAGAUACCCCUGUAGUCCCAUGAU
rnacentral:rRNA from 1 species